rnacentral:rRNA from 1 species
UGGGGAAUCUUAGACAAUGGGCGCAAGCCUGAUCUAGCCAUGCCGCGUGAGUGAAGAAGGCCUUAGGGUCGUAAAGCUCUUUCGCCUGUGAAGAUAAUGACGGUAGCAGGUAAAGAAACCCCGGCUAACUCCGUGCCAGCAGCCGCGGUAAUACGGAGGGGGUUAGCGUUGUUCGGAAUUACUGGGCGUAAAGCGCGCGUAGGCGGAUAUUUAAGUCGGGGGUGAAAUCCCGGGGCUCAACCCCGGAACUGCCUUCGAUACUGGGUAUCUAGAGUUCGAGAGAGGUGAGUGGAAUUCCGAGUGUAGAGGUGAAAUUCGUAGAUAUUCGGAGGAACACCGGUGGCGAAGGCGGCUCACUGGCUCGAGACUGACGCUGAGGUGCGAAAGCGUGGGGAGCAAACAGGAUUAGAUACCCCCGUAGUCC